rnacentral:rRNA from 1 species
UACGAAGGGGGCUAGCGUUGCUCGGAAUCACUGGGCGUAAAGGGUGCGUAGGCGGGUCUUUAAGUCAGGGGUGAAAUCCUGGAGCUCAACUCCAGAACUGCUUUUGAUACUGAGGAUCUUGAGUCCGGGAGAGGUGAGUGGAACUGCGAGUGUAGAGGUGAAAUUCGUAGAUAUUCGCAAGAACACCAGUGGCGAAGGCGGCUCACUGGCCCGGUACUGACGCUGAGGCACGAAAGCGUGGGGAGCAAACAGG